rnacentral:rRNA from 1 species
CUACGGGGCGCAGCAGUGAGGAAUAUUGCACAAUGGGGGGAACCCUGAUGCAGCAACGCCGCGUGGAGGAUGACGCAUUUCGGUGUGUAAACUCCUUUUAUAUGUCAAGAAAAUGACGGUAGCAUAUGAAUAAGCACCGGCUAACUCCGUGCCAGCAGCCGCGAUAAUACGGAGGGUGCAAGCGUUACUCGGAAUCACUGGGCGUAAAGGACGCGUAGGCGGGUUGGAAAGUCAGGUGUGAAAUCCUACAGCUUAACUGUAGAACUGCACUUGAAACUUCCAAUCUAGAGUAUGGGAGGGGGAGAUGGAAUUAGUGGUGUAGGGGUAAGAUCCGUAGAUAUCACUAGGAAUACCUAAAGCGAAGGCGAUCUUCUGGAACAUUACCGACGCUAAGGCGUGAAAGCGUGGGGAGCAAACAGGAUUAGAUACCCCAGUAGUC